AGUGAACGCUGGCGGUAGGCCUAACACAUGCAAGUCGAACGGCAGCACAGUAAGAGCUUGCUCUUACGGGUGGCGAGUGGCGGACGGGUGAGGAAUACAUCGGAAUCUACUUUUUCGUGGGGGAUAACGUAGGGAAACUUACGCUAAUACCGCAUACGACCUACGGGUGAAAGCAGGGGAUCUUCGGACCUUGCGCGAUUGAAUGAGCCGAUGUCGGAUUAGCUAGUUGGCGGGGUAAAGGCCCACCAAGGCGACGAUCCGUAGCUGGUCUGAGAGGAUGAUCAGCCACACUGGGAGUGAGACACGAUCCAGACUCCUAGGGGAGGCAGCAGUGGGGAAUAUUGGACGAUGGGCGCAAGCCUGCUCCAGCCAUACCGCGUGGGUGAAGAAGGCCUUCGGGUUGUAAAGCCCUUUUGUUGGGAAAGAAAAGCAGCAGGUUAAUCCCCCGCUGUUCUGACGGUACCCAAAGAAUAAGCACCGGCUAACUUCGUG
rnacentral:rRNA from 1 species